rnacentral:tRNA from 1 species
GCGGGUGUGGCGGAAUUGGCAGACGCACUAGACUUAGGAUCUAGCGCCGCGAGGCAUGCAGGUUCAACUCCUGUCACCCGCACCA